rnacentral:rRNA from 1 species
CCAUGCGCUCAACGUAUGGGCUGCCGGGAGUACUGCAUAACUAGGAAGUGGGAGAGGUAGACGGUACUCGGUAGGAAGGGGUAAAAUCCUUUGAUCUAUUGACGACCACCUGUGGCGAAGGCGGUCUACCAGAACACGUUCGACGGUGAGGGAUGAAAGCUGGGGGAGCAUACCGGAUUAGAUACCCGGGUAGUCCCAGCUGUAAACUAUGCAAACUCAGUGACGCAUUGGCUUGUGGCCAAUGCAGUGCUGCAGGGAAGCCGUUAAGUUUGCCGCCUGGGAAGUACGUACGCAAGUAUGAAACUUAAAGGAAUUGGCGGGGGAGCACCACAAGGGGUGAAGCCUGCGGUUCAAUUGGAGUCAACGCCAGAAAUCUUCCCGGAGAGACAGCAGAAUGAAGGUCAAGCUGAAGACUUUACCAGACAAGCUGAGAGGUGGUGCAUGGCCGUCGCCAGCUCGUGCCGUGAGAUGUCCUGUUAAGUCAGGUAACGAGCGAGAUCCCUGCCUCUAGUUGCCACCAUUACUCUCAGGAGUAGUGGGGCGAAUUAGCGGGACCGCCGCAGUUAAUGCGGAGGAAGGAAGGGGCCACGGCAGGUCAGUAUGCCCCGAAACCCUGGGGCCACACGCGGGCUGCAAUGGUAGUGACAAUUGGUUCCGAAUCCGAAAGGAGGAGGUAAUCCCUAAACGCUACCACAGUUAUGACUGAGGGCUGCAACUCGCCCUCACGAAUAUGGAAUCCCUAGUAACUGCGCGUCACUACCGCGCGGUGAAUACGUCCCUGCUCCUUGCACACACCGCCCGUCGUUUCAUUGGAGUUGGCUUUUAGUGAGGUAGUGUCUUGUUGGCAUUAUCGAGCUUGAGGUCAGUGACAAGGGAAAAGUCGUAACAAGGGUAAC